CCUACGGGUGGCAGCAGUGAGGAAUAUUGGUCAAUGGACGCAAGUCUGAACCAGCCAUGCCGCGUGCAGGAUGACGGCUCUCUGUGUUGUAAACUGCUUUUGUACGAGGGUAAUAUCAGAUACGUGUAUCGGCUUGACAGUAUCGUACGAAUACGGACCGGCUAACUCCGUGCCAGCAGCCGCGGUAAUACGGAGGAUCCAAGCGUUAUCCGGAGUUAUUGGGUUUAAAGGGUGCGUAGGCGGUAUUGUAAGUUAGACGUGAAAAUCCGGGGCUCAACCCCGGACGUGCCUCUAAUACUGUAUGACUAGAGAAUAGAUGCGGUAGGCGGAAUUCAUGGUGUAGCGGUGAAAUGCGUAGAGAUCAUACAGAACACCGAUUGCGAAGGCAGCUUACCGAACUGUAACUGACGUUGAGGCACGAAAGCGUGGGGAGCAAACAGGAUUAGAUACCCUGGUAGUC
rnacentral:rRNA from 1 species